GGAAAGGUGCAGGAGUGGUUGAACUGGCACGCCUGGAAAGCGUGUGUACGUGAAAGCGUACCGAGGGUUCGAAUCCCUCUCUUUCCG
rnacentral:tRNA from 1 species